CCACCUUGAAAAAUACAUCGCGGCUCCGGCUUUAAUUGUCUCGCACCUUCAGCCCUUUGCCAGCCAAGUUUGCCCGCAGCACGAGGAUGCGGUAGCCGGCCCCCCGCGCACCGUCGUUCCUCCUCCGCGGCGCUCGCUGCUCGUUCACGGCUGGUCACACGGCGGGUGCGCCAACUUUGGGAUUGCCUCGUUUUUUGAGGGUGGUCUUGGAUUUGCCUCGGCGCACGGAGGGAAGCAGCGGAGGACUCGACGCGGAGGAGAGAGGGCGAGAGGAGAGGAGAGAGAAAGGAGGGGGAGAGGGAAACAACAGGAGAAGCCUCCAUGUUUCAGCUGCCCAUCUUGAAUUUCAGCCCCCAGCAGGUCGCCGGGGUCUGCGAGACCCUGGAGGAGAGCGGGGACGUCGAGCGCCUCGGUCGCUUCCUGUGGUCGCUGCCCGUCGCGCCGGCGGCCUGCGAGGUCCUCAACAAGAACGAGUCGGUGCUGAGGGCCCGCGCCGUCGUCGCCUUCCACACUGGCAAUUUCCGUGAACUCUACCACAUCCUGGAGAACCACAAGUUCACCAAAGAGUCGCACACGAAGCUGCAGGCGCUGUGGCUCGAAGCGCACUACCAGGAGGCUGAGAAGCUGCGGGGACGCCCGCUGGGGCCGGUGGACAAAUACAGGGUGCGCAAGAAGUUCCCCUUACCCAGGACCAUCUGGGAUGGAGAGCAGAAGACCCACUGCUUCAAGGAGAGGACCCGGCACUUGUUACGAGAGUGGUACUUGCAGGAUCCGUACCCGAACCCCAGUAAAAAGAGGGAGCUUGCACAGGCUACAGGACUUACACCCACACAAGUAGGAAACUGGUUCAAAAACCGCAGACAAAGAGACAGAGCGGCGGCUGCGAAGAACAGGCUCCAGCAGCAGGUCCUGUCCGGCGGCUCGGUUCGCUCCCUGGCGGACGAGGACGGCACCGUGGACCGCCUGGGGAACUCGUCCAGUCCGGAGGCGAGUCUGUCCAGCAAAGCGGCGGCCUCAGCCAUCUCCAUCACCUCCAGCGACAGUGAAUGUGACAUCUGACACGGCCCCGGUGUUGAUGAAGUGGAGGGGGAUCCGAGUGAAAGACAAUCUAAUAAAAACGAGUCAUAGUGCCUGCGUUGAGUUAAAACACACAACACACACAUCACACACACACUGAUACUGACUGAUGCCAAAACGUGAGGGGAUCUGACUGUGCGUCCUUAUCCUGUUAUAGGCCUGUACACCUUUGGUUGCGUUUCACCCACGUGUGGAUAAACUGAACUUAACACGGACCAGACAUAUUUCACGGACUAAUCGCUAAACCGACGCCCUGAGAAGAAACGUAAAAAAGAAGAAAAAUAAAUCAACAACAACAAAAAAAAAAAAGAAGAAGAAAAGGAAAAAGGGGAUGAAGGGAUCCGAGCGCCUAACCUGCUGUUCUCUAGGCGACGCUUAAUUGGCCAGCAUGCCGGGCGUCCUGUAACGCAGGGUGACAGCGAGAGGUCACGCAGAGGCCGACGCACUAACCCGGAUGAUCUGCGGGAGAGAUCACACAGAUCACAACACGGCAGUCUGAGGAAAUGAGCUUUACACGGUUUACACAAACAGGCCUCUUCAUAAUAAAGUCCAGGUCCAAGUGUGCGUUAAAGCAACCAGGCCGUUCAUUGUUGCUGCAGAUGAAUCCUUUAAAUCAAAGGAGGCUCAAACCUCCAUUAUGACUGGUUUAUUA